rnacentral:rRNA from 1 species
UGAGUGAGCGAGGGGGCAAGCUAGGGGUGUGAGGAGCGGGCGGGAGAGCUAGCUGUGGCGGGCCCCGACUGUUGCUCUAGCGACGGCGGGGCGGCCAAGAACGAAGGGAGUGACUAGGAACCGCUAGAGCCCGUCGUGCGUGCGUCGCGGGAAGUGAGACCUGAAGAGGGGCGCGCCGCGCUAUUGGCCGCACGGCCGCUCCCACCUACGCCCGCGGGAAGGACAGGGCCGCAAGGAGGAGAAGUUCCCUAGAGGCUAUCUGUUGCCGACUAGCCCGUUGGUGUUGCGGAAACACAAGUCUUUCGUCGUUAAGUUGCUCUCAACUCCGCACUCAGAACUAGGCUCUACCGGUUCUAGUCGACGAAGACACGAGACGAGCCACCGUUCUCGUUCUUUAGGUUCCUACACUUCUUCGAAGGCAUGCGGUUUUCCCGGUUGCCUUCGCUGACCGUCUUCCACUUCGGCCACCUCAGGUACCUGCCCUGCCAGCGGCGGAGGUAGCUGUUGUCGCGGGGUCGUACGGCGCUGUGUUUCCAACAGCGGCGCUGUGGGCGGCUCGACGGUACGGUUCCGGCACUGCUGCUGUUCCGGAGUGGCCGCUCCCUGCAGCCGGAGCGGCCUCCGCGUCGGUGCCUGAGCAGGCCGAUGUUGUCGCUGUUCCUACGACGGCCGUGGCCGUGUGGCCUGCAGCACUCGCUCAACGGCAACGGCCGCUGAGGCCGCUCCGACCUCGCGAGCACGAGGUUGUAGCUCUGCCGCUCCGGACCGACCUUCCGGAAGCUGGACGACGACGGCGGCCGGUUCAGCGCGAGGGUGCCGCUGGAGCGCCGGAACGGGCGGCCGCGGCCAUCGAACAAGCGGUCGGGGUUGCCGCGCGGCCCGCCGAGGUCGGGCCGCGGCAGGCACUUCAGCUGCACGUCGCGCCUGGCGCACUACGACUUCGCCUCCAGCAGGUCGGUCCACGAGGGCAGGGCCUCGGCCUUCGACACCACCUCCGACAAGUACACCUCGGUGGCCUUGGACGUGGCCGGACCACGCCGGUGUAGCUCGUGGAACGGUGGGCGCCCGUGUCUGGUGGUCGUCGUCGUGCUGCCCAUGUGCAGCCUGUGCAAGCCGCGCCGGCGCCUGCCGUUCUUGUUCCUCUAGCGGCUCCACCUCCUUCUCGGCUGCACGCGCUUGGUCACCCACCGCAAGAGCCGCCUCCGGAGCAGCAGCGACCUGGCGCAGUCGCGCACCCACUCGUCGGAGCCCCUGCCGCGCGACUAGGUGCCGCUCCUCGUCCUGCUCCUCCUCCUCCUCCUCCUCCCCUUGCCGUAGUGGCUCUGGCUCUAGCUCUAGCCGCUCGGCAGCCCCUGCUGCUUCCCGGUGCGCGUCCGCGUCUGCGCCGUCUUUGCCGCGUCGUCUCGCCGCCUCCUCCGGCAGGUCGUCCGCUCGUCGUAGCACGUCUGCGAGUUGCGGAAGAGGAGCCACCGCGUGUAGAGGCCGUACCCCGAGUUCCGGCACGGGUACUAGAGCCGGAAGAGGUCGGAGGCCCGCCACUUGGAGAGGCCGUUGAAGUAGCGAGUGUAGAGCCGACCCAGCGACGGGUUCCCCGACGUGAGCGACCUGGACAGGGCCUUGUCGUAGCGGUCGUAGCUCCCGGACGCCCUCGACUGCGCCGACGCGCACGAGUCGGAGUCGAUGUUGGCCUAGCGCGCGUAGCCGGUGCCAUUUGGUAGAGGCAAAAGAAGAGAGCCGUUGCCUGGUACUUAGGUGGUGGUACCUAGCGCAGUCAAUAAGACGUACGGGAAGGAAGUGAGGUAAGGUCAUGAUGCAUGCACGAGUCGACUUUCGGUCGAUAUGGAACAUGCAUGUAACAAGUCGCAACGGCACAGGUGUGCCUGGCGGGCGGGCGGGCCAUCGUAAUGCUCGCUCGCCGGUCUAGAACCGGGUCCGAUCGAUCCGUGUCGUGACAUCAUCCCUUUCCCACCAGGCUUGCUUGCUCGCUGUCCGAUAAGCAUGCGUGUUUAACUACUCGCAUGUCCCCUGUUGCGUGGUCAGCACAGUGGCCGGCCAUGGUUAUGCGGCGCGACCUUUCUUGGAGAGAGACCAAUGCCUGCCGGCUGGCUAUACCUGUAGAGCGUAAGACGAAAAAAAGAACCCUACAACGAGACUGCUAGGAGCAGUGGCGUAGUGUAUCAUGGACCAUGCAAGAUCUCAUCGUCGAACGAGUCCGGAACCCUUGGCUCACCUAGGCAGUGUCGAAACGAGUAGGGUCUGCGUGCAUGUACGCACACUGACUGGCUGACCUGCGUCGGCGGUGCAGCACCAGGUGAGCCAGCCACCGACGAGGAAAUACUCGAGUAGAGACGUCUAGCAGGAAACAAUUUAAACAACGAUGGUGACGUCUUAAUACUAGGACAGUCUUAAAGUGGUUUGUCAAGCUCGAAACUUGGAGAGCUGACCGGUGAGGAACUUUUGUAAGGUCCCGACAGCUCGACGUGCCGCUAGUCCCUCGACAUGGACCGCCCCUUGUUCUAGUCGCUGCACCUCCCCGACGUGGCCGACGAGUUCGACCGCCACGACCUGGACUCGAAGUUGUCCCAGUGGUGGUGGUCCCCCGAGCCGGUCGAGCACCGGUUGAUGUUGAGCGAGUUCCGCGAGUUGGACGACCCGUUGGGGCACGUCCGGUUGCAGCCGCUGCUGCGCGAGGCGUUCCGGCAGAGCCCGGAGGACGGCGACGAGCGGAUGGAGUUGUUCGUCCGGGAGUUCGGCGUCUCGCGCGCCCUCCGGCGGUUCCUGUCGCAGCGGUUCCGGCGGGAGCCCUUGUUGGCGACCUCGAGCGCCGCCGCGCGCUCGAGGUGCCGCGCGGCCGAGCCGGUCUCGGGGCCGAGCAGCAGCCGGUUCUCCCUUCCCUCGUCGUCGUCCUCGUCCGGGGACUUGCCCCAAGUCCGGUCCUCCACUCUGGUAGCCCGUUCCUCGUUGAAGUCUACGGUGUCUACCGUAACAGUGCAACUAGUGGGACCUGACCUGCCGCAACUCAACUCUGAGACGCAUGACGACCUUUAUUGACGUUUGCAACACUCUGGGCUUUCCACACGAACCUUUUCUUAACAUCAUCAUCACAAAGUUCGGAAAGGACUACUCGGGUUUUACUAAGUCCUUUCUUCUUUACUGUACGCCUACGUCAGUCCUAAGUACAUUCAACGCUCCCAGCUGGUUUAAACAUUUCGGUUCAUUUUACAAACAUCAAAAAAAAUCCAGAUUCGUAACAACAAACUUUUACAACAGCAACCGAGGAUUCGAUGAAGGUAAACAGGUAACGGCAACUCCUCGAGUUAACAUGAGGGAAGCAUUUCUUUAUAUUCUUGUGAGAAUAUAAAGAACUGCCAUCUCGAGCUCACGGCUCCCUCCAACCAACAAGAACAACCAGCUUCGCGA